rnacentral:rRNA from 1 species
GCGGUAAUAGCUCAAAUUUGAAAUCUGACUCUUUUCGAGUCCGAGUUGUAAUUUGUAGAGGAUGUUUCGGGUACAAUUUUGGUUUAAAUUUCUUGGAACAGAAUGUCAUAGAGGGUGAGAAUCCCGUCUAUAACCAUCUAUUGUGCCCAUGUGAAACUCCUUCGACGAGUCGAGUUGUUUGGGAAUGCAGCUCUAAAUGGGAGGUAAAUUUCUUCUAAAGCUAAAUAUUGGCCAGAGACCGAUAGCGCACAAGUAGAGUGAUCGAAAGAUGAAAAGCACUUUGAAAAGAGAGUUAAACAGUAUGUGAAAUUGUUGAAAGGGAAGCGCUUGCAAUCAGACUUGCAUUUAACAUUCCCCUAUUGUUUUCAAUGGGUCAUUUUGUUAAAUUCAGGCCAGCAUCAGUUUGAGUGGUUAGUUAAAGACCUUGGGAAUGUAUCUACUCUCGAGUAGACUUAUAGCCUUUGGUGAAAUGUGACCUACUUGGACUGAGGAACGCGCUUUAU